CGCGGGAUGGAGCAGUAUGGUAGCUCGUCGGGCUCAUAACCCGAAGGUCGUUGGUUCAAAUCCGGCUCCCGCAACCA
rnacentral:tRNA from 2 species